UACAGAGGUCCCAAGCGUUGUUCGGAUUCACUGGGCGUAAAGGGUGCGUAGGCGGUUUGACAAGUCUGAUGUGAAAUCCCGCAGCUUAACUGCGGAACUGCAUUGGAAAACUGUUUGACUAGAGGAAUGGAGGGGGAGACUGGAAUACUUGGUGUAGCAGUGAAAAUGCGUAGAUAUCAAAGUGGAACACCAGUGGCGAAGGCGAGUCUCUGGACAUUUUCCUGACGCUGAGGCACGAAAAGCCAGGGGGAGCAAAACGGGG
rnacentral:rRNA from 1 species